GACGGGGGGGGCAAGUGUUCUUCGGAAUUACUGGGCGUAAAGCGAGUGUAGGCGGUGUGGUAAGUCGGAUGUGAAAGCCCCGGGCUCAACCCGGGAAGUGCACUCGAUACUGCCACGCUAGAGUAUCGGAGAGGUUGGUGGAAUUCUCGGUGUAGAGGUGAAAUUCGUAGAUAUCGAGAGGAACACCGGUGGCGAAGGCGGCCAACUGGACGAAUACUGACGCUGAGACUCGAAAGCGUGGGGAGCAAACAGG
rnacentral:rRNA from 1 species